CACGUAGGGCGCGAGCGUUGUCCGGAAUUAUUGGGCGUAAAGAGCUCGUAGGCGGCUUGUCGCGUCGUUCGUGAAAACCUGCAGCUCAACUGCAGGCUUGCGGUCGAUACGGGCAGGCUAGAGUUCGGUAGGGGAGACUGGAAUUCCUGGUGUAGCGGUGAAAUGCGUAGAUAUCUGGAAGAACACCAAUGGCGAAGGCAAUGUUCUGGCUCGUUUCUGACGCUCAGGUGCGAAAGCCAGGGGAGCGAACGGG
rnacentral:rRNA from 1 species